AUGCUUACCUCACGUCUGGUUGAGGGUGAUCAGCAGAGCUCUGACCCCAGGUGGAAACUCAGCAUCGUACUUUGCUGCAUUGGUGCCUGCGUCGGCCUCCAAUCGAGUUCACUUGGCUGCAUAAUUUUUGGUGGUGGAGAGCUCUUGAGUGUCCCUCUU
rnacentral:snRNA from 9 species